AUCAAGAACGCAGGGGGCGACCAAACAUCCUCCACCAAACCCUAGUUCAUGCAAAUUGUCCAAAUUGAAGGCCAAAUUCUGUUUCAAAACGAAACCCGAGCACGAAAUAGUGAUCUCCACUGAAAAAGGAGUCAUAAGUUUGACGCUAAACGAGAUAGGUGGAAGCUUGAGGACGAAGAGGGUCAAACAAAUCAAUAAGGAAAAGUAAGGCAUAGUUUGGAUGUGAGGUGAAUGUUAUAUGCUUCCGGAAGAAGAUCAAGCCACGAGCAAGAACCGAACACACCUCUCAAUGAAGCUUCCGCAUUCGAUCUUGUUUUGUUUUAAUACAAGUGGAUUAUGUAAACACUUUUAACGAUGUUUUU